AUUGAACGCUGGCGGAAUGCUUUACACAUGCAAGUCGAGCGGCAGCACGGGGGCAACCCUGGUGGCGAGCGGCGAACGGGUGAGUAAUACAUCGGAACAUGCCCAGUCGUGGGGGAUAACACUUUGAAAGAAGUGCUAAUACCGCAUACGUCCUGAGGGAGAAAGCGGGGGAUCUUCGGACCCCGCGCGAUUGGAGUGGCCGAUGUCAGAUUAGCUAGUUGGUGGGGUAAAGGCCUACCAAGGCAACGAUCUGUAGCUGGUCUGAGAGGAUGAUCAGCCACACUGGGACUGAGACACGGCCCAGACUCCUACGGGAGGCAGCAGUGGGGAAUUUUGGACAAUGGGGCAACCCUGAUCCAGCCAUUCCGCGUGAGCGAAGAAGGCCUUCGGGUUGUAAAGCUCUUUCGGCAGGAACGAAACGGCGAGCUCUAACAUAGCUUGCUAAUGACGGUACCUGAAGAAGAAGCACCGGCUAACUACGUGCCAGCCGCCGCCGUAAUAC
rnacentral:rRNA from 1 species